rnacentral:rRNA from 1 species
UGGUUUGCCUUUUGCCACCCUGGUGGCGAGUGGCGAACGGGUGAGUAAUACAUCGGAACAUCCUCCCUGUAGUGGGGGAUAGCCCGGCGAAAGCCGGAUUAAUACCGCAUACGAUCUACGGAUGAAAGCGGGGGACCUUCGGGCCUCGCGCUAUAGGGUUGGCCGAUGGCUGAUUAGCUAGUUGGUGGGGUAAAGGCCCACCAAGGCGACGAUCAGUAGCUGGUCUGAGAGGACGACCAGCCACACUGGGACUGAGACACGGCCCAGACUCCUACGGGAGGCAGCAGUGGGGAAUUUUGGACAAUGGGCGAAAGCCUGAUCCAGCAAUGCCGCGUGUGUGAAGAAGGCCUUCGGGUUGUAAAGCACUUUUGUCCGGAAAGAAAUCCUGAGGGCUAAUAUCCUUCGGGGAUGACGGUACCGGAAGAAUAAGCACCGGCUAACUACGUGCCAGCAGCCGCGGUAAUACGUAGGGUGCGAGCGUUAAUCGGAAUUACUGGGCGUAAAGCGUGCGCAGGCGGUUUGUUAACACCGAUGUGAAAUUCCCCGGGCUCAACCUUGGUCAACUGCAUUGGUGACUGGCAAGAUACACUUUGG